rnacentral:rRNA from 1 species
GGGGAAUUUUGGACAAUGGGCGCAAGCCUGAUCCAGCAAUGCCGCGUGUGUGAAGAAGGCCUUCGGGUUGUAAAGCACUUUUGUCCGGAAAGAAAACCUCGUGGUUAAUACCCGUGGGGGAUGACGGUACCGGAAGAAUAAGCACCGGCUAACUACGUGCCAGCAGCCGCGGUAAUACGUAGGGUGCAAGCGUUAAUCGGAAUUACUGGGCGUAAAGCGUGCGCAGGCGGUUCGCUAAGACAGAUGUGAAAUCCCCGGGCUUAACCUGGGAACUGCAUUUGUGACUGGCGGGCUAGAGUAUGGCAGAGGGGGGUAGAAUUCCACGUGUAGCAGUGAAAUGCGUAGAGAUGUGGAGGAAUACCGAUGGCGAAGGCAGCCCCCUGGGCCAAUACUGACGCUCAUGCACGAAAGCGUGGGGAGCAAACA